ACAGAGGGUGCGAGCGUUAAUCGGAAUUACUGGGCGUAAAGCGUGCGUAGACGGUUUUGUAAGUCGGAUGUGAAAUCCCCGGGCUCAACCUGGGAAUUGCAUUCGAGACUGCAAGGCUUGGGUGCGGAAGAGGGAAGCGGAAUUUCCGGUGUAGCGGUGAAAUGCGUAGAUAUCGGAAGGAACAUCAGUGGCGAAAGCGGCUUCCUGGUCCAGCACCGACGUUCAGGCACGAAAGCGUGGGGAGCAAACAGGA
rnacentral:rRNA from 1 species